rnacentral:lncRNA from 1 species
CAACGAUUGGUCAGGAAUAGUUUAUGCUUAAUGAGAAGAAAUUUUUAAAUAAUUUGCAUUAGUGAAAGGGAAUAACGACCAUCCCGAAUCAACACAUGCAUUCAAAUAGAAUGGUCAUGUCUUAUAUUGGCUAGUAGUCCAAUAUUGUUUAUUUUAAGAAAUUUCCACACUGACUUAAAAAAAACGAGAAUUAUGUACAAGUAUUCAUAUAUCGAACACUCUCUCUCGCUAUCACACACACACACACACACACACACACAAUGACACAAACACGCAAACUGAGAAAAGAGGAUCGAAGACAAUUAACCCUAAACUCACCCCACCACAAAAUAUAGGGUUCACUAAAACAUAGUUAAUUAACACAUCAUUGCAAGCAGGUUUUUUUUUUUUUUUU